rnacentral:rRNA from 1 species
GCGAGUGAAGCGGCAAAAGCUCAAAUUUGAAAUCUAGCACUUUCAGUGUUCGAGUUGUAAUUUGAAGAAGGUAACUUUGGAAUUGGCUCUUGUCUAUGUUCCUUGGAACAGGACGUCACAGAGGGUGAGAAUCCCGUGCGAUGAGAUGUCCAAUUCUAUGUAAAGUGCUUUCGAAGAGUCGAGUUGUUUGGGAAUGCAGCUCUAAGUGGGUGGUAAAUUCCAUCUAAAGCUAAAUAUUGGCGAGAGACCGAUAGCGAACAAGUACAGUGAUGGAAAGAUGAAAAGAACUUUGAAAAGAGAGUGAAAAAGUACGUGAAAUUGUUGAAAGGGAAGGGCUUGAGAUCAGACUUGGUAUUUUGUGUUCCUUAUUCUUUUUGGAUUUGGUUCCUCACAGCUUACCGGGCCAGCAUCGGUUUGGAUGGUAGGAUAAUGACAUUGGAAUGUAGCUUUGCUUCGGUGAAGUGUUAUAGACUUUGUUGAUACUGCCUAUCUAGACCGAGGACUGCGUCUUUGACUAGGAUGCUGGCGUAAUGAUCUUAAGCCGCCCGUCUUGAAACACGGACCAAGGAG